rnacentral:tRNA from 1 species
GGGGAUAUAGCUCAGAUGGUAGAGUGCUUUGCCUUUCAUGCACAAAGCCCUGGGUUCAAAUCCCAACCCCA